GACGAACGCUGGCGGCGUGCUUAACACAUGCAAGUCGAACGCUGAAGCACCAGCUUGCUGGUGUGGAUGAGUGGCGAACGGGUGAGUAAUACGUGAGUAACCUGCCCUUGACUCUGGGAUAAGCCCGGGAAACUGGGUCUAAUACUGGAUGCUACAUGUCACCGCAUGGUGGUGUGUGGAAAGGGUUUACUGGUCUUGGAUGGGCUCACGGCCUAUCAGCUUGUUGGUGAGGUAAUGGCUCACCAAGGCGACGACGGGUAGCCGGCCUGAGAGGGUGACCGGCCACACUGGGACUGAGACACGGCCCAGACUCCUACGGGAGGCAGCAGUGGGGAAUAUUGCACAAGGGGCGAAAGCCUGAUGCAGCGAGGCCGCGUGAGGGAUGACGGCCUUCGGGUUGUAAACCUCUUUCAGCAGGGAAGAAGCCACAAGUGACGGUACCUGCAGAAGAAGCGCCGGCUAACUACGUG
rnacentral:rRNA from 1 species